GCGGUUUUCUAGGUUGUCUCUGACGCUUAAGCCCGAAGGCGUGGGGAGCAAACAGGAUCAGAUACCCUGGUAGUCCACGCAGUAAACUAUGGAUACUGGGUAUAGGGAGUAUCGACUCUCUCUGUGCCGAAGCUAACGCGUUAAGUAUCCCGUCUGGGAAGUACGGCCGCAAGGCUAAAACUCAAAAGAAUUGACGGGGGCCCGCACAAGCAGCGGAGCGUGUGGUUUAAUUCGAUGCAAAACGAAGAACCUUACCAAGGCUUGACAUGAUAGAAGUAGUGAACCGAAAGGGGAACGACCUGUUGAGUCAGGAGCUAUCACAGGUGCUGCAUGGCUGUCGUCAGCUCGUGCCGUGAGGUGUUUGGUUAAGUCCUGCAACGAGCGCAACCCUCGUUGCCAGUUGUUCUCUCUGGCGAGACUGCCCUGCAAAACGGGGAGGAAGGUGGGGAUGACGUCAAGUCAGCACGGCCCUUAUGCCUUGGGCUACACACACGCUACAAUGGGUGGUACAGAAGGUAGCAAUAGAGCGAUCUGGAGCUAAUCCCAAAAACCAUCCUCAGUUCGGAUUGCAGGCUGAAACUCACCUGCAUGAAGUUGGAGUUGCUAGUAACCGCAGGUCAGCACACUGCGGUGAAUACGUUCUCGGGCCUUGUACACACCGCCCGUCACGUCAUGAAAGUUGGCAACACCUGAAGUCGAUGGGCUGACCCCAGCUUGCUGGGGAGGUAGUCGCCGAGGGUGGGGUUGAUGAUUGGGACGAAGUCGUAACAAGGUAACCGUA
rnacentral:rRNA from 1 species